GACGAACGCUGGCGGCGUGCUUAACACAUGCAAGUCGAACGGAAAGGCCCUGCUUUUGUGGGGUGCUCGAGUGGCGAAAGGGUGAGUAACACGUGAGUAACCUGCCCUUGACUUUGGGAUAACUUCAGGAAACUGGGGCUAAUACCGGAUAGGAGCUCCUGCUGCAUGGUGGGGGUUGGAAAGUUUCGGCGGUUGGGGAUGGACUCGCGGCUUAUCAGCUUGUUGGUGGGGUAGUGGCUUACCAAGGCUUUGACGGGUAGGCGGCCUGUGAGGGUGACCGGCCACAUGGGGACUGAGAGAGGGCCCAGACGCCUACGGGAGGCAGCAGGGGGGAAUAUUGCACAAUGGGCGGAAGCCGGAUGCAGCAACGCCGCGUGCGGGAUGACGGCCUUCGGGUUGUAAACCGCUGUCGCCUGUGACGAAGCGUGAGUGACGGUAAUGGGUAAAGAAGCACCGGCUAACUACGUG
rnacentral:rRNA from 1 species